rnacentral:ncRNA from 1 species
AAGAUUGCGAUGAUGAGAAGAGUAGUAAAAGAAUCAUUCUAUAAGAGAGCUAAUACAUGCUGAAAGUUAGCGUUUGUGAAUUUUAUGAAGAUGGUCUUAGAGCAUGUUUUUUGAGCCAAGAUAUUGGUUAGGGAAAUACGGGCGCAACCGUUAUAUUGCAGGGUGAUGAUGGUCACCUAAUAAGUUAUUCAUUGUGAAGUGAGUAAGAAAUAGAGUGGUAACACGUAUAAUGCGUCUCUAUA